rnacentral:lncRNA from 1 species
GGGUUUUUACAAAGAUUCCUUCCUCAAAAUUCGACAAUGAACUGGAAAGACCCGUUCUCAUUGCUGAUGUACACUUUGGAAGUGACUGUAAACUAUACAUACUUGUAAUAAUCAUUAGGUUUCCUUGAAAGAUUUACGGUUAUAAUUAUGUGACAUCUUCAAAAACUUUCAGAAAACUUGAUGACUAUGCUACACAUACUAAAGAAAAAUAUCCAGC